AUGCGGCUGGCGGUGUUGACUGUAUCGCCGAACAGGCAGAAGCGCGGCAUGCGCGUGCCCACCACGCCGCUCAUGGCGCUGCCGCUGUGGAUGCCCACCCGCAGCCGCACGGGCUCGCCGGUUGUGGGCAGCCGCACGGCGCCUGCGGCUUGCAGGAGCGCCUGCGGGAAAAUUUGCAAGGCAUAAGGCUCAGUUAGCGGGGUGAACCGGAAGCGCGGCGGGCAGUCCUGUACAGCCAGCAAGUCACUCCAACCUCACACCCGCUGGGAAGUGGGCCCCACGCGACUACGCACGUACCUUUGCGAACUGCACGGUGCGGUAGGCGUGCAGCGGGUCCACGUCAUCACUGCGCACCGUCACCGCGCCCGUCUCCUCGUCCACCUUCAUCAGCCCGCCCGCCACCAUGUAGCAGUCGCCGAUGGUCUCCACCUUGUACACGCCGAACGCGUCCAGCAGCGCAUCCAGCCGAGUGAACAGGUCGUUCUGCGAAAGCGCCGCCAUAACACAUCAGUCGUAUGCGGGGCAAGGAGCAGAUCCCAACUUGCAAAGCAAGUGGCAAGGCGCGCUGUACCCUAGCAAAUGGGUCUCCCCGUGUGCCCUCCCGGCUAUUCAUGUCCUCGUGGACUGCGUCCCAGUAUUUCCUGGCUCCUCCUGGACAGAGGGAGAAACACCGCUCACUCCGCGCACUUGCGUCCGCACCUACCAGGAAGGCCAUGACCACUCCCGGCCGCACUGAGUUACACAUCCCGGUGAAUCCCUGAAGGCACAAGACAAUAAGCGGUUGCGGGCAACCCAGUUUCAUACAACAGCAUAGAUGACAACGCCGUCGAUUGUAGCAGCAAUAGCAGUGUCCGAGUACGCAGGUAAUGGCGCUGGCAACCACCCUAAGCAGGUGUGCAAGACAGCAGCAGGUGUGGCUGGAAAUCGACUGCGGCUGCUAAUGAAAUUACGCACCGAAACUACCAAGCAAGCUCAAUACGAGGCGCGCACCUGAAUGUCACAGAACAGGACUGUGAUCAUGGAGUGAUUGGUGGCCAGAUGAAUAAACGUGUCACCGGUGAUGUGCAGUGGCCCCGACACGGCUGCCACCGGUGCGCCCACAGAGUCCGCGCCAGAGCCCUGCUGCUGUGUGGCCGGGCCGGUCCUGGCCGCGCCGCCUCCCGUGAGUGCGGCGUCCAUGGUUGCCACUGCAAUGUGCUCGAGCACUGUGGGACGCAGGGGAGGGGCGUGCACAUGAUUCAGUGCUACAUGUUAUCUGGGACUUCAUGCCAGGUGGAAACAACUGGUAAGGAAGUGGAAAGGAAACGGAAGUCUAGCCACCCGUUUUCUCGCAUCCAUGUUUGUAGCCGUACCGUGCGCGGGGAAGAUGGCCUGCGGUGUCAGGACACGGAGCAGGGUUGUAGUCAGUACUGCGCGCCUUUCAAGCAUGCAAUCGUGAGUGACCGCCCCGGUGUAUCUUGAUCACCCUUACACACGCACCUCCAGCAGCGCGUGCUCCGCCUCCACCACCCGGGCCAGCUGCCGUUCAGCCCACACACGUGCCGACACGUCGUGCUGCGAGCAAGUGGUACAACAUGAACUUGAGUCAACAAAGGUGCUUGGGCAAGCGGCUGACAUCCCUCGCGUGACAGUAGACAGUAGUAAACGCCUCCCCGGGGUGGAUUUUGCGCGCCUCCUCCCGCCGAUGAUUAACCGGAACCAUGCUGACUUGCGAUACGGUACAGCUUGCACGGCACUUCUCGCGGGCGGAGGAAUCUCCCCCACCCACUCCCCACGCCUGCCCCGCAAGCCCCUCACCUGCACCACCAUGAUUAGGAACUCGCCAGGUGACGUUGGGUGCGGCACUGCUGACACCGUCAACUCGUACCAGCUGCCGCCCUCUGUGCCCAGCCCACCAGCGCCACCGCCCAACACCGAGCCGACCGCCGCCGUCGCGUCCGCGGCGCCACCACCGCCCGCCGCGGUAUCGACUGAGAAGCUGGCCGCAGCGGUGUCAGUGGCCAGUUGCAGGCCAGGAGGCGGCGGCAAGGCCACCGUCGACAUGGCCGCAGAGGCUGUUGAGGUGGCGCUGUGUGAGCCGCACCUCGUUACCACCAGCAUGCCCGCCAUUUUGCCGCCGCCACGGCCGUUUCCAGCGGCAGCACCAGCUGUCAACAUCUCUGCGCUUAGCAGACCUGAGGCAGCUGCCGCCGCCGCACCGGCACCGGCACCGGCACUGGCGUAUGAGCUGACAGCCAAUGUGCCGCCGCCGCCGCCGCCGCCGCCGCCGCUACCGUGGUCAACCUGACGGCGCCGUCGCGACGCCCUGCCGUCUUGGGCUCCACGCACAUCGACUGCAUGGGCUGGGCUCCCAUCCGCACCGCCAACGGCUUCGGGUGUGCUCGCAAAGCUCCGCAUGGUGCCGCCGGUCUGCUGCGCGCCACUGUCCUGGCCGCCGGUCGCUUCGCCCAUACCGCCGCCGCCGCCGCCGCCGCCUGCGCGGCAACUGUUCCUCCAGGAGCCGCUGUGGCCCGCCAGCAGUUGCGUUUCGGCAUCACGGCCGUCUUUCUGCGGGCUGCAACUCCUGCUAUUGGCACCAUCAGCAGCCUGCUGCUGGUGCUGUUGAAGGUCCUGCUGCUGCAUCAGCGUUGCUGCCGAGGACCUCUCAAGGCGCCCCAGGCCGGCUGCGGUCGUGCUGAGGGCGCCCAGAGCGCUGUGGCCGGACUGGUGCUGCAGCAUGACAUGCUGGUUGCUGUUGCACGAAGCCGUGGUCGUCAGGAUCCCGGCGCUGCUGGCGAUGACGGGCGGCAUCAGCACAGCGCUGCUGCCAGCGUGCCCGUGGAGGGCGGAGCCGAAGCUGCCGCUCAGGCCAGCAGAAGCUCCCGCGCGCGGCGAGGCGCCCACAGAUCCGUGGAUGCCGCCCCGGAUGCUGACGUCUGCAACCAGGUCUGCCACCGCUGCUGCAUCCUCUUCGCCACCCGCCGCCGCCGCCGCCGCUUCUAGGAUGACAACAUCACCGCAGGUGUGGAAGGCGGAGCGGUUUAUCACAUUGCUGCUGCUCAUAAACCGUCCAGCAACAGGCGCACCUGCCAGCCCGCCGGUGGCAGAGCCCACACCUAACGCGUCGUCGCACAGCCCUGUCGCGUACGUGUGCAUAAGCGCGGAUGGCAUGCGGUCACCCACCGAUUCCAGCAGCGCAGCCGCCGCAAGGGAGCUCAGCGGCCCGCUGGCAUGGUUGGUGCUGUUGCCGCCACCUGUGCCAUUACUCGCUGCCCACCGCGCCCCACCCAAGGCAGACGUGCCGCCCGUGACGCCAGCGCCUCCAGCACGCGCCAUAGAACGCAUGGUCAGCUGCACAAUGCGCGGCACUGCCAGCCCUGCCGCCGGCGGUGUCGGGGGCGGUGGCGACGGGUGUGAGCCCAGGUGCAGCGGCGGCGGCGACGUGUGCCCGCCACCACCACCGCCACCUGCGCCACCGCUUGAGCCUCUGAACAUGGCGGCAGGGGAAGGGCACGCUGCCGCUGUUGCAAUUGACAGGUGCUGCGGCAGGGGCGAUGCAAUCACCCGCGGGGACUUGCUGGCGACGUCGGCGACGGGGCCAUCAACUGCAUCCAGCGCAACCCCAGCAAACGGAUCUACAGCGGCCGCCGCCAUCAGCGGAGCAGUAUUCAAAACUGGCCGCUGCCUCCCUGCCGCUGAUAACGCCGAUACGGGGACGGAGAGCUUGCCGCUGACAACGGCGGUUAAGUCGCUCACGCUGCCAACCCCGUGGCCGGUACUCGCAUUGAAAGAGUUGCCAAAGUUGCGAGCUGCUGCGCCCUUACCAGACGCUGCUGUGCGAGGGCUGCUCAUGGGCAUGUUGCCGCUGCUGCCACUGUUUUUGGCUGCUGGCGGCGUGAAGGUCCACAGCUCGGGCGGUGGCUGCUGCGGCACCUCAAGUGUGGCCGCGCCAAGAGGGCCAGAGGCUGCACGAGUCAGAUGGUUCCAGGAGACGCUGACGUGGCGGUGGGCGGGCUCCAGGGCCAUACCAGCCGCAGCCGCAGCCGCUGCCGCCACGACUUUCAAGCCCGUGCCGGCGGCAGCCCCGGCUGCAGCGGCGGCACCGACACUGUUGCCGCCGAACGUCCUUGAGGCUUCUUUGGCUUGGUCUACCGACGUCACGCCCGCCAUGACGGACAGGAGCUCGUUCGACAGCAUGACCUGCCCAUCGCUUAGGGCUGGUGACCGGUGCAAUCCCGAGCGCUGCUGCUGGUUGCUGCUGCUGGUGCCGCCAUCACCCAUGCCGCUGAUGGCGCCGGGUCCAGUGCUGCCACUGGCUCCCCCACCCAUCUUCGCAAGGCUCGUAAGCCGUGCCAGGCUCCUUGCCAGGAAGUUCUUGCCGCGGCUGCUGCGGGGCGAGGCGGGGCCGGCACCGUUCAUGGACAGCGCUUCACGGGCCGUCCCUGACGUGGGUGAAAGAGCGCCCACAGGAAUCCAAGCAGCCGCUCUGGAGGAUGCCUGGCCCGUCGCAUCGCGGUCAGGCCUUGGAAGGACGAAGCCAGCAGCCGAUGAAAGGCCUGCAGAACGCACGCUUGUCAUGGCUACUGAAGAACGCACCGCCGGCGCAUCCGCGCUAGCGCCGCCAGCACCAGCAGCAGCGGCGCGCGACAUGGGGAAGUGCACUGUGUGGCUGCCGGGCUGCGGCGGCGGCAGGGGCUUCGAGCGCGCACUCGCCGCGGCCGCCGUUGACUCCAUACUGCAGAAGUCAUCACUGCCAUUGGACACAAGCAUCAGGUUCUCCACGGACCGUGUGCGGCGGCCGCCGCCGCCACCGCCGCCACCAAUCGAAGCGGCGGCAGUAGCGUAGAGGGAUCCUGCAGGAAGGCCACCCACGCCGCUGUGAUGCAGCGCCCGGCUGCCGAACAUGCCGCUGGCAACGGCGCCUGCUGCGGCCUGCUGCUGGUGCUGAUAUGCUGCGGCGCCGACACCAAUGCAUGUGGACUGCCGCCUGGCGACGCUGCCGCCCACGCUGACGUCUAUGUCCCUCGCCGAAGCGCCCGCAUGCGCCGCCGACACGGCAGCUGCGACCCCGCCCGCUCUUGCCAUGGCGACCGUGCCGCCAGCCGCCGCGCCACCAGAGGCGACAGAGCCAGCGCAUGAGGCGCGAUUGGCGGCCGCAGCGCGCGCGCCGCGCCGCGCUGCGCCAAAGGCGGACGUGCUGAGGCCUUGCAUCAGCGCCUCUUGGUGCUGCUGUCGCUGCAGCUGCUGCAGCUGCUGCCGCUGGUGGAGCUGCUGAAUGUACUGCUGCUGGUGCUGCAUCAGCUGCAUGAGUUGCUGCUGCUCUAGUGAUGCCAGAAUGGCAGGAUCUGUGUCCGCCAGGCCGCCUGCUCCGGACGCCGUCCACCCAAAAACAGCAGGCGGGCUGCCACUGACGCCACCGGCCACCGCCGCCGCCCUAGCCGCUGCUGCGCCGCCGCUGGCAUAGGUUGUAACAAAGUGACCGCUGUUGCCGACGCCGCUCUUGCUACGUGACAGCGGAGUGCGGGCUGCAGCCACAUGCUGCACACGCCCUGAUGAGCUGCUGUGGACUUCGGAGCCGCAAGCGACACCGCCCGCAGGAUGAGGUGCUUCAGCAGCUGACAGCAAGUGGGCGUGUGGGCUGGGCGGUAGACGCAAGCUGCGAGGCUGCUGCCCGCCAGAAGGGCUGCGGGCGAGAGAGGCGUCCGAAGAGGCAGAAGCGGCAGUUGGCACUCCGACAGCGGCAUCCGCGUUAGCACCAGCGGCAUAGUAGCGCUGGCCACGUCUUGUAGACGCCGACAGGGGCGCAACGCUGUCAGGCAGGUUGGCGGAGCUAAUGAGGGCAAAGGCUGAUGACACCGCCAACGAUGCAGAGCGGCCGGGGGCGCCUGUUGCUGCGUUGGCUGCAGCAGGCCUGCCUCCGGCUUGGGCGGCAGUGCCGCCGCCGCCAGUCGUGUCCGGCGGUGCAGCGGGAGAGCCCCCUGGGAGUGGCGCCAAGCCUGCGUUGAAUGAAGGCUCAUUCAUGCUGCUGCCGUCUGCGCUACCGCGGCUACCUCCGUGAGCGGAGCUGCCUGCCUGAUGCAUGCUGCGACUGCCGCCACCGGCGGCGCUGCUGCUACUGCCGUCUUGCAAGCUGCAGCUUGCCGGGGCCCCACGCACACGGGUAUGACGCCGGUCUGAAGAGGGGCAAAAACGUGUCCACACGUGUUUCUCCACGCUCGCGUAGACUUAGCCUCCCUCUUUCAGGAAUUAACUUAUAUGACAUAUAAGGAUGCAAAAGUUUGACUCUUGUCGCAUUCUGCGAGGGUGGCUGUCACCACAUUUCGCGAGGCAUGCUUUCGCCAGGGUCGCACUCUUAAGCCCGGCAGCAUGUUGCUAGUGUCCUUGCAUGUAUGUUUGAUGACGGCAACAAUAAUUGGCAUCAAAGCGCGGUAAUUGCGCAGACUUGAGAAGCCUGUUCACCGCGACGUCACCGAAUAGGCCGCAAACAAAAUAUUUGAGGUCUCUAUAGUAUCAAGGUGAUACUUGUAGAACGCUGGUAGCUGAUUCGGAGGUCGGCCUGACGACCGUCGCCGACCGUGCCAACCUGGGCGGAACGCAUCGCCCGGACGCCACGCGAGCUAGACCAGUCUAGGCCGUGUUGUCUGCCCGGGACCACGUUCGCCGUGCCUUAAAUGGGUAGUGCCCGACCUGUAGCCGGAGUUUGGGGACCGGACGACAAGGCCAAGGCAGGUAACCAGGCUGUGCCGUUUGACCCCUCUCCCAGACCGGCGUCAUACCCGUGUGGGCCCCACGGGCACUGCCACAAACGCCUCCGUCGUUGCCAGCAAGCGCGGCGGAGAGGAGGGAAGGGCGGCAGGCACUCCCGCGGUUGCAGCUCAUGCGGCGGGCACGGCUGUCGUCGCUGCCACAGCCGUCCUCUGGUCCCCGAGGUGACGCAUCCUGCCGGACUGCCGGUGAAGUCCUGGCACCGUCGACGGCGCCUGUCACCGCCAAGCCUCUGGCAGUAGAAGCAGCUUCCUGCAAAUCCACAGCAGCAGUGAGGGCUGCUUCUCCAGACUGCCCGCCGGUGCCGGCAGCUGCAGCAGGAACUUCCAGCUUGCGCCGCCCGCCGUGGCUUGACACCUGUCCCACCGCAGCCGCCUGCGGCUGUGCCUCACCGCUAGCAACGCCUCCGCUGACGCCGCCUGCUGCUGGUGCCCGUGCAUUUGCCAGCGAGCUAUUGCUCCGCUCCGCCGCCGCGGACCGUGCGCGGCAACUCACUAAGAGCGCGAGGGACUCGGCUGUCAGCGCGUUCCCGGAUGCUGACGUGGCCGAGUGGGCGACGCCCCCGAACGGCAUCUCCAGACUGUUCGAGUUACCGAGCACCGCCGAGAUGGUGUUUCCAGACGUGUGUGCACCAGUGCCGUGGUCCGCCCAGGACGCGUAACUGAGUUUGUCGCAUUGGAAAUCAAUUGAGGCCGCCGCAGCCGCAGCCGCCACAGCUGCCCCAAGGGCGUUGGCAGCAGCCGCGCCGCCGCCUGCGCUUGCAGCUGCUGCUGUGGGUUGGGUGUGUGGCCCCUCCGCUGAGGGAAGUGACGGAUGUGAGUCACACGGCUGCUGGCAUGCGCCAAUCUGUUGAUCGGGUCCAAGGGGAAACAGCAUGCGCCUGGCUGUUGCUGUGACAUGAUGCGGUGGGUGAGGGCUGCCGCUGCUGCGGACGUGGUGACGUGCAAGCCCCUGCUCCGCCCCUGCGGUCGCUGCGCCAGCGGCGGCAUCGCCAGCAGCAUCGCCAGCAGCGUCGCCAGCGGCGGCGGCCGCGCCAGCGCACCAUGAGGACCGGCGGCGAGCAGCUGCGGACCCCCUGGCGGUGGCCGCUGCUGCUGCUAGCGCAAUGGGGCCGCCGCCACUGCCGCCGGCGACUGAGCCGACAUGCAGGCUGUAGCGGGAGUCGACCUGCAGCAUGGGGGCUGCCGCCUCCAACACCACACAGACCGAUGGCAGCCCCCAUGCAGGUGCAAGAUCAGGCGGGUCGGCGCGGAUCGGCACCGCCGCAUGCGUGGGGUUCGCUCGCAGCUGUGGCAGGGUCCUGUUGGACAGCAACCCUAUGUCAGCAGCGGGGCGGCACUGCGACGGGCUGCCGCCGACGUCACCGGGCAGCUCGUCCUUGUGACUCUGCGACUCGCCAGUAGCCCCGUCCUGCGCCACGUGCUGCAGCUGUGCCGUGCCAGCGCUGCUAUUGAUGGCUUCACAAGUCGGUGCUGACGCAGCCAGUAGACGCCUCUCCGCAGCAAACAUCUCCUGCUCCUGUAGCUCCCUCUCCCUCGCGGCCACCGCCGCACGCGCCGCAGUCGUAGCAUCCGCCUCACCAAGCACGGCGGCCGGAGCCCUGCUACCCAAUCCGUCCAUCCCGUGCUGUUGCUCCUGCUGCUCCAGCUGCUUCUCUUGCUCGUGGUGCUGCUGGUCUUGAGGCAACGGCGGCUCUUCCCCAACAGUGCCGCAGUGCGCCGAGCGGCUCUGCCGCGACAGUGGCGACAGGGAGCGCCGCCCGCUCGCGCUGCUUGGCGAGCCGCCGCACCCGGCAGCAGCAAUCGCAGCCCCUCCAGUGGCCCCUGCUCUGAAGCUUCCCGCUGAUACAGCCGAUGGCCCGCCAGUGAGGGAUGGCAGCCGCAGCAGCACGUGCUGGGGACCAGCUGUAGUAACACCAGCCUCGUUUCCCGCAUCCCCUGACACAACGCUCGCUAACAAUGCGUCGCGGCUCCGGUCCGCAGCUGGGCUCUGCGACCGUGCGCGCUGGCCAUCUGCAUUGUGCACAGGAGGUGGCGCCGCCGCGGCAGCUGGGGAACCGCCAGCAGCGGCAGCAGCGCGUGCCUGACUCACACCGGAGUGCGUGUCCGGCUGCCGCAACCCCCCUGUCCGUGUUGCAGCCUGCCAUUCUUGUGAAGGCGGUGGAGGCGGUGGUGGCUCCUUCCGUUGCGGCGUCUGCUGCGGUUGUUGCUGUGGUGGUAGUCGGCUUGGUCCACGCGUCCGCACCCCGACAGCGCCACUGCUGCCCAUCAGAGGUGCCGCAGUUGCUGCGGACACGCCAGCGCCACCCACCGCGGCCUGAGCUGCUGCAGCCGAAGGUUUUGCUACCGCUGCUGUAGCGCCAGCGUAAUCCUUCUCAGCCUGCCUGAGGAAGCUUCGCACAUCUAUCAGCGGCGCCGUGCGCCCAGCUGUUGUUGCGCCACUCACGCCACUGUUGCUUCCCCUCGACCCCACCAGACCACUGCUGCCGCUAGCUCCCCCAGCACCACAGGUGCGAGGCAGGCUGGUACGGCCAAAGCCUGGAACAGCAAGUUUCACAACAGCGGAGCCUGCUGGUACGUCCAUCGACAUCCGAUGACUGCCGGCGCGUGAGGCCUUUGAUGUCGUGCUGCCUGCUGCUGGCGCUACAGCCUGUACACGCCUGCUGAUGUGCGUCUGUUGGGAAUUGUGGUGCGAGGUGGUGGUGUCUAGGGCCGCCCAACGCGGCCGGAAGGAGGCGUCUUCGUCAAGUGAGGCGCGGCGAGGCGACUGCAGGACGCCGGCGGAAGGGGAGCUGUUGGCGGCGGCAGCGGUGGCCGUGGCGUUACCACCGGUGGUGUAUGAGGCUGCUGCAGAUGAAGGGACCUCUACCGAAGCCCGGCGGCCCCGACUGCGCAGGGCAGAGCGUGCCGCCUUCCAGUCCCACAGUGCCGACACGGACACGGGGCCCUUGGGCUCCUCGGCUACCGUUCGUGCUUGGGGCACGCCGGCUGCUGGCGAGGUGGGGCUGCUUGUGCCGGCGGCGUACGAAGUGCCAAAACGGCUGGGGCGGUGAUGUUGAGAGCCCUGUUCCUGAUCUCGCUCCUGCGCCUGCGUCUGCGGCAGCAGCAGCAGCAGCUGCUGCUGCUGCUGCUGCUGCUGCUGCUGCUGUUGCUGCUGCUGCUGCUGCUGCUGCUGCUGCUGCUGCUGCUGCUGCUGCUGCCGCUGCCGCUCCUGCGUCUGCGGCAUCUGCUUCUGCUGCUGCUGCUUCUGCUGGCUGCCCGCGUCACCACGGCGGCGCCCGCCUUCCAGAGGCACUGACGGCGGCGCGGCAGCACUGCUGCUGCCAGCCAUCGCAGCAGCUGUAGCGGCCGCUGCCGACGCCCAGGUGCUACUGCCUACGGAGUGGUCGCAGCUCGCCUGCCCCCCGGCCCUGCCGGCAGGGCCCACCGACCCCCGCGAGAACAGGUGCUGGUGCAGCUCCAGAUCCGCUGCUGAGGCGCCGGACCCAGCAGCAGUAUCAGCCUCCAUUACCGUCGCCGCUUGCACGGGGGCGACUGCAGAGUUUGCCGGCUGGCUGCCGCCGCCACACACGACGCUCUGGCCGCCACCACCGCCCGAUGUCAGCACAUCGACCAGCAGCUCGCCCGGCCGUUCCGAAGGGCAGCAGCCCACCUCGCCGCUGCGAGGAGCAACAGCUGCGGCGCUGUAGUGCCUUGCCGGCCCCGCGGCGUCGCGCCGCUGCCCCCGCCCGGGCGCCGCUCCCGUCUCACUGCUGACCCUACGGUCAGGCGCCAGCACCUCCGCCGCAGCGCUGCUGCUGCCGGCAGCGUCUGUUGCAGCCGCUCCUGCUGUCCGGCUUGCACAAGGGAGGCUCAGACUGUGGGUAAUGCGCAUUGAUGUCUGCAUCAGGUGCUGCUGUUGCUGCGGAGCCAGCAGAGGCGGCCCAUGCAGCACGUGGUAAGCUGGCAGCGCCCCAGACGAGGAUGGACAGUGAUGGCUGUAGCAGUCGCGUGGGUUCCCGUACGCAUCGCUCCCAUGCCCAGCUCGCUCUGGCUGUAGCAGCUGCAGCUGUAGCCGCAGCGAUGCCAUGUCGUGUGCUGUCCAGGGAGCUCCACUGCCACUGCCACCGGGUGCCACCGCGCCUGCUGUCGGCGGCGGCGGCUGUAGCAGCGAUGGCAUCGCGCAGCUUGAGGCGAGGGAGCACUGCUGCGAGAGGCGCCCGCUGGCGGCCGUCAGAAGCAUGUUUGCGGCUUCUUUCUUGGAUGUUUCGGCGGGCGCGGGUGGCGGGCGCGAGUCCAUGGCUUGGAUUUGGAUUAGGCCUGUGUGCAUGCAGGGCAAAACGCGUCAGCACGCCUGGAAGCCUGCGGGGCAUACCGUACGGCAUGGUGUGAUGCCAGCGCGUGUGCCUACCUCGCCAGGUGCGCCCGGCCGCUAUGUCCGCCAUGGCUUCUUGCAGCGCAUCUGGAUCAGCGGUGAACAGGAGGCGAAGCGAGGGGGGUGCCGGCCGGCACGAGCCGGCAGCAGCCCGCAUCCUAUCAAAAAGCGCUUCCGAGGCCGCGUUGUUGGCGAGCAGCGUGCCAUUGCGGGUGAAGAGUGCGACCUGUGACACAGGCGGCCGAGGCCAGGGGAGGGCGCGGGGGGGGGGGGGGCGGUUACGGGCGCAGGAACACACAAAUCGACCAAAAAACAAACAGCAGGCACGGCACACGUGGAGCCGUUCAAAGGCGUACGGGCAAAACCUACCCAGCGCCUUGACCUUCCUUACCGGGUCGGAUAUGUGCUGCAGCAUCAACGCAAAGUAGUUGUUGAGCGGCGGCGGGGCCGCAUCGGCUGUCCUGCAUGCUGCCAACAACGUCGCUUCAGAGCCCUGACGCUGCGUUCGGCCUGUGUCCUGCUCUGGUUUGAAGCAGCAAAAUAUCCAUCCUAGCGCCUUUCCUGGCACCAUCGCCGCAGCGUAGCCCUCAAGUUCGCUGAAAAGCCCUACACUGCUGACAUGAUGGCAUUAGACUAAGGCAGAAUGCGUUCUUAUUGAAGUAUCUUCCUGCGAGCAGCUGACCCUCCGAGUAAGCUGGAGCCCGCCCAACGAAAGACGCAAUCGCAGCAACGCGCAGUGUGACAAAAUACUUUGCAUAUCAUAAGAUACUAUCACACAAUAAUAAUACGACGACCUCAAGAGACGUUGUCCUCAAGAGCAAAGUGUCACAAUCACCCAAGGCAAAGGCCCGGCUUAGCUAGCGUCUGUGCGGUAUCAAAGAAGAACAUGUCAUAUAUAUAAUUAACAGCAGCACCUGUGCACACGUUAACGGGCUCCAUGCCGAACGAGUGGAACGACUCUCCCGUCUUUGAUCUCGGCUCGACGCACGGCCCCCACGCGCAACUUAUCGAUAUAUCAUGCGGUGACGUAGUUCUACCGCCAUAUGCAGUACUGCAGAGGCAGCGGAAACAAAUCCAAUCUUUCCAGAAGCGUGACCUCGCACGCCUGUCCGUGUACCAACUUUCACUGAACCAGAAGUUGCAUGAUGCAAUGCAUGCGCAAGGGUGUCAGCUAAAUACCACCUAAUUAGAGCCUUCCCUCGAACCUUAGUCCUUCGAGUCAAACCCUAGCGAUGCGCCGCAAUUGGAUGCGCACACAUUAUGCGGCACCCCUUCCGCACGAAAAGCAGCGGGAAUGCAUAAGGACGUCUCAAUGGCCAGACUGGCCACCUUGUCCUCUACUGCACGGUGCAAUUCAAGCACGCGGGUGGCUCCCGGGGGCGUGCUUUGAUGCCAUCGCAUUGCCCCGACCCUGCUGCAGCAGGCGCCGGCGCGCUUCCAGCUUCAGCGCCAGCGGUGCCCGCUGCGGUGUGCAUCCCACCCUUCUGCUGGUGUUGCAGUUGCAAUUGCUGCAACUGCUGCAACUGCUGCUGGAGGUGGGCCGCGGCCGCGAGCCGCUGUAUGUCCAUGCUGGGCGCCAGUACCGACUGGGCGUGCACAGGCAGCAUCUGAAGCUGCGGCGAGGCUGCUGCCACACUGGCCGGGUCAGCUGCUCCAGGCGACAGCACCGGUAGGGCAGAGGCACCGUGCUGUUGGCCCUGGUGAACGCGCAUGGGUGCACACGGCUGCUGCUGCACGAGCUGGGCCCCAUGCCACUGGCCUGCUGACGCGGCCUGCUGCGACGGGCCCGCUGCAGACACAGCAGCCGCCAUGGCUAAUGCCGGCGCCACCACCCCGAGCCGGCAUUGCCCGUAAGCGGUCGGCGGGUGUUGCUGUUGCGGGUGGGGGGGCCAUGUCGCACCCUGCUCCUGUUGCUCAUGUGCAGGGCGCCACCAUGGCUCCUGCCCACCGUCGUUGCCGCUGCACCCCACCUGCUGGCCCUGCUGCGGCUCUGGCAGCGGCUGCUGCACCAACGUUCUCCCGCCAGCGCUGGCCUUGCUCGGCGAGCUGACCGCGAAGAGCGCCCCCUUCCACAGCAGGCCGCCCGUUGCCGGCGCCGCCUCCUUGUUGACUAUUCCGCUGGGCUGAGCUGCGCCUAGCGCCGCAAGGUCCGCUGCCACACGUGUUGCCGGCUGGGCCUUGCUCACGCCCGCCAGCGGCGUCGCUGCCAGCGAUGAGAGCAGGCUGGCUGCCGCCGCUGACGUCACUUGCGAAACUGGCGUCGCGAAGCUGUGCUCCGAGACCGGGCCGGCGCCGCUGCGCGGUGUGGACCGCGCGCCAGCGGCCGCUGCAGCCCCGGGCCCGUGCGCGCGCGACGGCGAUACUGCUGCCGAGGGGCUGAGGCCGCCGUUGACGGUGGCGCUGAGCCCGGACAGCUGCUCCUCCAACACCUCCAUCCGGUGCUGUGGGAUGGGUGUGUGUGUGUGUUGUGGGGGGGGGGGGAGAGGUGCGGGGCACGACAGGGCAUGAGUCUGAUGCGCCAAAACGGUAUUAGUUGCACUCAUCUGCCUUUACGCUCGGCUGCAUGAUCCCGGCCCGAGCGCUUCAACUGCUCACCGUCAUGUACUCCAUACCGGUCUCCAGCUUGGUCAGCCGCUUCAGGUACUUGUCCUCAUAGCUCGCUUGCGCGCGCCGCUCAGCCUCCUCCACUAGCGCGGCCUCCCUGAGCUUCGCAAUGUUCUGCUCGCGCGCCCGCAGCUCGUUCGCCUGUAAAGAUGAAAACACAUGUAUUCUUCGACAGGGUCCCAGGUUGUAACCGCCCAAGCCUAUCUCUGAGUUACAUGCGUUUCAAGCUGCGUUGUGCUGCUGCUACGGUAGCUCGCACGCGGGUCCCAAGCCUCACCUGCUCGCCGUAGCGCGACUGCAUGUCGCUGAACGCGCGCUGCCACUCGCGGCGGAUGCUACCGCCCUCGGUGGCCAUGUCCUUCUUCAGAUCCCCUAGCAGCGCUCUAAGCGCCUCCACCUCCGCCCGCAAAUCGCCCGGCUGCUGCGGCGUGUAGGACCCCAGGCCGCCCAGAGGCGUCCCUGUGCCUCCAAGGCUGCUGCGCCCUGCUCCGCCUACAGUACAACAAGCCCGGUUGCGCGAUAUGAUGCUGCGCAGGUUACCUUGCAUGAAAUGCUGCUGCAUAUGCGCUGAAAAAGCGAGGCUUCCAACUAUCCCGAUGCUUACCGUACUCACCGUUCGGAGUGGAUGGCACGGCCGGAGUGGGCGUGCCGGGCCCAGGGGAUCCGGGCGACGCCUGCAACCCGGCCUGCAUCUGCAGCAGUGCGGCCACUUGCCGUGCCGUCGCGUCUUGCUGCUGCUUGAGCUCCGCCAGCGCAGCCGAGGUGGUGCCCAGCACUGUCGUAAGCGUGUCUGCGUGUUAGUUGCGGCGUUUGCCGGCUGACGCAACAAGCGACCUCUACUCAUGCACGUAACAGACACAAGCCAGCCGCAUAUCCCCCUCACCAAGCUGUGUAGUAGCGCCUCAUUUACUUACGCAGGUGCACUUACCUGAUAGCCCCUCGCCGUUCGGCGCGUCGCUGGUGCGUGCCGGCGCAGCUGCUAGCCGAGCCAGCUCUGCCUGCGCCUGGUGCUGCCACUCAGACAGGCCCGCAAGCUUGGAGGACAGCUCCGCGCACUGCUGCGUCAGCGUCGCCACCGGCAGCUGCAACAGCUGGACCUGGGGGCGGCACACACGGACACGCAGCACACCAUCACCGGCUUGACAAUUGACACCCGGUUCAUGCCCAGCUCAGCGUACACGUAAGCGGCCUAGAAAGCCCCGACCUACACCACCUUCUCACGCGGUUCUCACCUGCGCCUGCAGCUGCACCACCUGCUGCUCCAGCACAAUGCUGCCGCCAGCCGCAUGCUGCUGCUGCACCGCAUCCAGCCGGCUGGACACGGCGCGAGCCUCGGCGCUGGCCGCGGUCGCCACCGCCAGCGCGGGAGCCAGCUGGUCCACCUGCGCCCGCAGCGAUGCCAGCUCCGUGUGCAGCGCGUGGUUGGCGUGGCUGUGCGCACGUAGGGAGGGAGGACAGAGCUCGGAGGUUGGUGCAAAGACACGCACACCGCCCAAGGCGCGUCCCCACUUGGUCUAGGUGUGGCCCUGGCGGGAAGUAUAACCAGCCCUUCAUGAAACGCAGAUGAAGGCUGGCCUGACGCUCAAGGCGUGUCCCUGCUUAGUAUAGCCGUGGCCGUGGAGGGAUGGAAGUCCGGGCCAUUGCUAUGCCAGAAGCGACCGCGCCUUGAAGGACGCAACCCACCUGGUGGCGGAGGAGUCUGAAGCGACGGUGCGUGCCGCGCUGCUGCUGAGCAGCACCACCUGCUCCGAGAGCUCCCGCAGCUGUGCGCCCAAACCCCGCUGAUCCGACGACAGCCGCCCCGCCGUUUCCUGCAAGGCAAACAGGUGCGCAGGUGAGCACUUGGUUUCAAGGCCGUAGCCACAUUGCCACGUGGUACGGUUGUUGCGCAAUACGCCAUUCAAAACAACGUAUGCCCAACCCACAACGCGCACCUGCAGCGAGCGCUCGCCGUCCUCCAGACGCUCCAGUCGGCCGCGGGUGUCCUUUCCGCGCUCCUCCGCGAAGCCCACCCGCUCCUCCAGCUCGGAUAGCGCACGGUUGUGCUUGCCCGUCAGCUCCAGCGCUCGCUCCAGCUAUAUACAAACAAGAUCACCAACGGAGCAUUACAAUAUGUGCGGCAAGUACACCAGCGAGACACAAGCUCAAUGCAUACGGUGCACCGUCCCUGCGUUCAUUUCUCCUGCCUCCGAACUCUAGGCCCUCCCCCAGGCUGGGUGGCCUCCGUGUGACCUUCCGCACUCGGCUUCACCCGUCCCCGGUCUCACCUGCGCGGCAGACUCAAUCUGUGCAUGCGCUGUAGCAUCCACUGCACCCAGCCGUUCCUGCGCCGCCAGUUACAAGUCUCAGUUCACGAGUUCAUCAACAACUAUGCUGCAGCCAAGCUCCUCACCGUCGCUGCCCGCAUGUCGCUCUGCAGCUCUUGAAUGGCGUGGUCGUGCUUCUGCAGCUGCAUCGCCACCGUGGGGCCGGUCGUGGGCGCCCCUGUGCCGCUGCCAGCUGCUCCGGCACCGGCCCCAGGCGUCAGCUGGCCAGCGCCAACAUGGACUGACGUGCGCGGUAGCGCGCUCCUGGCCCCUGCAGCCGGCGUGCCGCUGCCAGCCAGCGGCGUCCGUGCUCCGGCGCCCACUGCAGACGUGGGCCGUGCAGACGACGGUGUGCCCGCCACACCUCGGGGUGCGGGCGUGGUGCCUCCGCCGGGCGCGUUACGAUAGGCGCUGAGGGGCGUGUCUGUGGAUGCUCGAAUUGUGGCCGACGCAUUCAGGGGAGUGUUCCCGCCCCCACCCCCGCCCGCGGGGCCGCUGCUGGUGGGCACGGCAAGCAGCAGCUCAAGCAUCCCCUCGUUCUGACCGUCCACCAGCUCGAGGGGAGUGUUGCCCGCCUGUAAAUGGCCCAGCAGCAGCGAUCCACCGACAGCGGUUCAGUGCAUGCAGCAUGCCCGCUUAAGGAUGCGCCACCCGUCAAACUGCGCAGGUUCUACUCAUCCGAAAUACGGUCUGCCUGACACGCUCAGCUCCAAGCCGUCCUGACCCUCCCUAUCUGUAUGAAGGCCGGCACUGACCUUGUCCUUGGCAUCGGUCCGUGCUCCGGCGUCAAUCAGCUUCGCAACGACCUCAAUGUGGCUGUUGCGGACUGCCAAGUGAAGCGGAGUCUGGCCGUCGCGGUUCUUCUGCUUGACCAUCAGCUUCCGGCCCGGCCCAGUGAGGAGCUCCACAACGCUUUCCACAGAUCCCUGGUGUUGUUUUGGUGCAAGGUUGUCGUGUGAGCGCUGUGGGCACCCUCCAGGCGUUGGGACGAUAACCCUUGGCACCCUCAGUGCGUGAUAACGAGACCCUACCUGCUCUGCUGCCAGGUGCAGGGGCACGUUGCCCGAGUUGUCCAUGACGUCAUGAGGUGCGCCGUGCAGGAGAAGCUCCCUCACAAACGCUGGGAGACCCGCCGCAGCCGCGAGGUGGAGCGGCGUCGCACCCGACACCUGGUGUGAAACGCGUGUGAGCUCACAGGGUGUUGCGCCGGUGUAGGCGUGAACCAUGCCCCCACUCGUGCUGCCGCGUGCAUGGAACCGGCGCUGCAUCAUCGGUGUGCCACAAGCCGACAAGCGCCUUCUAAGCCAACCAGCCCUUCACGCCGCUGGUCAAUGAUGACCGCCCGCGGUUCACCGCGGCCAUAGCACUGCCGGAUGCCCCAUUCAGGUUACUAUUGCCAACAUAACCAAAACUCACGGGGUUCUUGGCGGUAGUGCAUGUGGAGUAUAACGAAAUGCAGCGCUUGAGUCCCGCCAAGUUGCCCUUCUCUAUCUCUUUAAAUAUAUUCUGGGCCAUGGCUUCACAGCGACUGCGUUGAUCUGGUAACCCGUUAGCGAGCAAGCAAGUAGGGCGAACUUUGCAUUUUGACACUGUUUUUGUUGGUUCAAGUUCUUUUUGUUCGUCAAGGGCUAAGAAAUGAUAAUGGUUUGUUAUGGUUAAAGGGAUCCGAGUGAGGUCGCCAGCACAGGCGAAGCGCGGAUUUUGCAUGGGCACGACAGCUCUCCGAGUUUUGUCCUUGGCUUCUUAGUUCUACCAGGCACGAGCACGCCCGCGUUACUCGGCCACCCGCUGAGUCAUCAAGAUGAUACUGGUGAUAAACGCUGCCCUGCGCCUGCGCGGGUGAUGCUAGCAUGGUAGCCCCAGGUACACCCCUGCCCAACCUGGACACGCCGCGCCCCGCGCCGCGCUGGUCCUUGACUAUAUGUCGAUAUAGGUCACGUUAUAAUUACUAUAUUUGUCACCCGCAACCCCGCAUGCAUACUUCAAUGGGCCAGCAGGUCCCUGGCCCCCUACCUGCCCCUGCCUGUCCCGGCGUUAGCGCCCGAUCCUAUCCGAGUGCAGUCACUUUACAUGAGCUAUGACCAUCUCACAGGUAUCUUAAAGAACCCACGUGGUCACCGCCGUCCACCUGCAGGGUCUGCUCUGUGUGCAAAGGGGCUUGUGCCUUGCGUGCAGGGCUUCUGCGCCGGCAGUUGGCAGUUGAGCGCGCAGGGGGCGGGUAUGCAUGAUGCUCAUGCUCACGCUUUUCUCUUUGCUUGUGCUAGCUUACUGGCCUCGGCUCUACAACGUCAUGUUCGCUUGUGCGUGUUGCGUAUUUUCAAGCACGACAAUAACAUGAUAGACUGCGCGGGUAAGUAUGUCCCCUGCGUCAUUGUUGUGAGCGCAGGGGUGCCCCUGUGUGGGCGAGAUGCCAUUGCAAUUCCCUUACUUGACCGGAGGGUGGGAAAAUUGCCUAGCGCAGGCAUCUGGCGGGGUGGGUCUGGUCUGGCAGCUAAGUUCCAGAGGCACCCUGACCCCCGCGCACGUGCAUCUGAGGGUGCUGGGGUAGCCCUGCGCACGCAUCUUGGGGUGCCAUGUCCACGCAUCUCGACUGGCGGGGAUGGUCUGCCCAGGCAUCUUAGCUGCCGUGCCCAGGCAUCUUGGAUGGCGGAGGCGGUCCGCCCAGGCACCUUAGCUGCCGUGCCCCCGCAGCUUGACUGGCGUGGUUUCCCACCCCGGAAACGUAGCGUGCCGAGUUUAGAUUGCGGGAAUGUCAGUAAGCACGGUAUGCCCGUACCCACGUGGGUGCUGGUGCUGGUGCCAUUGUGCCACAGUGCCCAUGGCAAGCACGCAGCUCAAUCCGGCCUGCUUCCUAAAGAAUGCUCUACACGCAGAGAUGCCAAGCGCGAUUUAUUCACUGUGACAACUAGACGGAGACUGUGGGUUCGGACAUGGAAACACGGUCUGGGGCCGCUAAAGCUGUGUUUAUGCCGUGGAGCCUGCUGUGAUUUAUUUCAUGAUAUCUGCUAUCUGGGUGACAAGCUGUAUUCCCUAGGAAAGCUGGCUGCGGCGCCGAGUUGGCUGUCACGCCCCGCGAACCAGUGGUUCGCAGAGGGCCUUUUGUUUCCCUGCUUGCCCAGUAGUUUUUAAACUUGCUCAUGCUUUACAUGUAGCCUUCUUGUGGCACCACAAGCCUCAAAAGAAGGAAGCCUUGACCAAUAAUGUCGCAACUUCAGCAGAGUUCUGCAGCUCGAAGUAUCUAUAAAGGUGUUGUGGUAGCUUAAAUAUCAGCACGCAUUCAGUAUAGGCCAGCAUGGUCCAAGCCCUUGACUUUCCGGCUGAGCAGUGUGGCUGUGUACGUGUGCCGGAGUGCUGGCAUACCCCUACGCACUGCCCGUUACCCAUUCCAGACCCUCUUGCGGCAUUUUACCAAGCAACUAGGGUGGCUACAAUAGGCAGCUCGGAUGUGCUAGCAGGGGCGCCGCGGCAUCUGCAAUGCCUCGCGCAGGCAUCCGUGCUGAUGGCGCGGGGUCGCGCAGGCAUCUGCCAUCCCUCGGCGCAGGCAUCUGGACUGCCGCGGCGACCCGCCCCAGGCAGCUUCAAACCCCCGCGCACGCAGCCAAAUUUGGCUUGGCAGGGUACCCGGCUCACCCUUACAACCAGAGGCCACCGGCAACUUUUCGGAUUUCCUACCCUCCUACUUGACUGGGGCGACAGACGGCUCCCCAAUUCCGCAUCCCACCGCCGGCCAUUCAGCUGGCGACGGAGGUCUGCCUACUUGCACGGCAUUGGCACGGCCAUGCCGGCAUCAAUUACGUACGGUGCCUAUGGUGGAGAAUGGCCUUGAGGACCCGAUGGCCCCACCUAGAGGCCUAGACAAUUCAACAGCUAUGAGCUAUCAACUGGGCAACACCGUCGAAAGUCCGUGCACCCGCUGCACACUCAGCAGCCUACCCUGUAAGCACUAACUAGCGGCGAACCAUUCCGACCCGGUGCUCAUGUAGCGCAACACAUCCCGUCGCUAAACACACAUCGCAAACCAUGGGCGUCCUUGCGCCUCAACACAUGGGCAUGCUAGCGCCUGCGGGAGUUUCUCCGUCCUCCAUCGUCAAGACCCGCGACUUUCCACAUGCAUGCCUGUUGGAAUGCUAGCAGUGCGUUAACACAUGCGUGUCACGAGCCAGCCGUGCGUAGCCACACCAUAGGCGCAUCAGCACGCGGCAGCUCGCAACAUGCGAGCGAUCAGCACUAAACCAUCAAAAUGGGCCUCAAUGCACACUGCCGGGCUGCCAUCAGCAAAUGACACAGCCGUCGUGGUGCCGCGCACCUCGGCGGUCGUACUCCUCGUACUGAUACGCCAUCAGCUGCGUGUGUGUGCGGGGGUUGGAGAGCAGCGUUGCGGCACAUGUCGGAUGUAGGCUGAGGGAAGGCAGCAUGGACCGCAAGCCAGAAACAUGCCCCAGGGGCCCCAGUAGGACCCCCACCGUCCGUCACGGGGACCGGGCACAUCUGCGGUGUUGCGCUCAAACACCAACCUGCUGGCUAGUGCUGGCCAGCCGCGCGGCGGUCUGCGCCUGCGCGUCACUGACCGACUGCAGCCCCUGCUGCAGCACCUGCAUCUGAGCCUGUAGGUCGCCGCCAGGCACGAGGCAGGCACAGCUCCUUAAAAGCUACACUGUGGCCAAUAACCAGCUAUGGCCAAUAAGCGUCAUCCCAGCAUACCGUAUAGCGAGCGCCUUAUGACCCUCAAGGGCCACUACACAUACAUGGGGCCCAGGAUCUCUCUGCAUUCCGUAACGCGCCCAGCAGGAGCCCGCCCCGCCCCGCCUCACGUUCAGUUGUACCACAGUUGCCGCCAGCCAGCCCACAAGUGUCAUGAGCGCUCCGCCGACGGUCAGCACCGCGCACAGCGCCGUCCAGCGCCACACGAAGGCGCGCAUGCGCUGCAGCUCCUGCACCAGCUGCCGCCGGGCGUCCUCCUCCCUGCGACACGUGGGGUGAGGAGAUAAGCGGUGCGCAGCGGGGCAGGAGUGAGUAGGCGAAGUGGAACACCUUAUCCAUUGUUGUCUUGGACGAUUCAGCGGUACUUGUAGCCGGUACCAUCCUCAAUAGGGGACAUGAUCCGGAUCGCCGGAGGAAAGAAUACGAGAACCAAACCCAACGUGCGCCUGACUGCACAACAAGCCGGAAGGGGUGUGCGGGACAGUAGGUAUGCGCCCGCCCGAGCCCAAAGGAUAGGGUGUACAGUGAGCAUAGUCGCAUCACGUGCGGCUUCACAAGCUGCUGAGGCACGCGGUCUGCCCCGCCCGCCCGAGCCCACACACACGGCCCACCUGGACAGCAGUUCCUCUAGCACCCGCGUCCGCGCCUUGCCCUGCUUGGCGGAUCCGGGCGGGGAGUUUCCUGGUCGCGCGGCAGAUCCCGCUGCGGCCGCCGGCGGGUCCUCACCAGGGCCGGCAGGCGCGGCAGCGGCAGCAGCUCCGCGAAGGAUUGCAUCCGCCUCGUGCUCGUCGUCGGCCGCGUCCACAUAAUCAUGCCCAACAGCAUCGGCAGCAGCAGGCAUUGCGGCGGCUGUGUGGCGCAGUGGGUCGCUGCCGAACAGCCUGCCGCGGUUUAGCAACGCCAUGCUGCACAGCAACUGAUUGGAAUGGGAGCAGAAAGAUGGUCAGGAAGCUAACGGGAACCAGUUUUUGGCGAUUUGGGGCAGGCAGGCUUUUCCCAACCCGGGCCUGACCCCGGGCCCGACCCCCGGGCCCAUUGCCUUGGGGAUCUUCAUUGUGUAAGGUGCCCGACUCGCUCGUCGUUCCCCGCUCACACUUCGUCGCGGUCGUUCGGAGCUGCUGCACCCUUGCAAAACGUUAGCCACCUGCGUACGUUGGGGAACGAGCGGGGUGGGGGGCGUGCGGGGUGGCCGCGCCGUGGCGGGCAAUGGGAAGUUCGCUAACCAUAACUGCCGUGAGGAAUGCAAACUUCCAGCCAGCCAGCAACUUUUCGGUACAGUGACUCCGGCGUUCGGCCAGCCGCGCACUCCUGCCCUGCCGUUGCAAAUUGUUUGCCAUCUUCUGGGGUCUGGGAAUCACCACUUCACCAACCUGCCUUAACACUGUCCCAUCGCACAACCACACCCACCACUUCACCAACCUGCCUUAACACUGUCCCAUCGCACAACCACACUGCCUUCCGCACCGCAGCUGCGUUUCCUAUAAUAAGAGUGUAAUAAGCUGAAGAACAUCCCGCCAGAAGACUGAGGCCGCGCACCCGCCUUGAUACAUCCAGUGCUGGUCUACAGCUGAAGGGGCAGCGCAGGAGUUGGAGAGACUUGACCACAGAGACUGAGUUGGAGAGACUUGACCACAACAAUGCCGCGUAAAUUAAAAUGCACAUCGUUUCGGGCACGCCGCGGGCACGUGUGUCGUGUUUGCACCGCACGCCCGCACUCCGGGCCGGCGGACAUGCUCCAUCGUUGCGUCCAACAGCCACACCGGAUUGCAUUACCUUCUUGUCAGCGCAGGUGAGCCCUCCUAGCCCUUUGUCCGCCCUCCGCGCUGUAAAUGCCUACCUGCCCACAAGCUCCGACCCACAACAGCAAUCAAUACGCUCAGCUGCAGCUGUGCCCACACUCCUCAGCGUCUAGGCCCUCUUACCCAGCAAGUCGUACUGUGCGCCCUAAUGCAUACAUACAAAACGAACAUGAACACAAUGCGCAGACAGCAACACUGAACAUUGCAACGCCAACAAUGCCUCACAUUGUCCACCACACACAAUGAACGCACACGCACAUCAGCGCGCACAGAAGUACACACAUCAUUCGUUCUUUGGUGAGGUACAUAUGAAGAUCGAAGUCCCCAGUGCCUGACUGAGUCCGCCCAUCCUAGCCCUGCCCAUUGGCUAUAAGAUGAAGAGGCAUGCGUGCUGCCUGCAACGCCUUCAGCGCUACUGCUUCCCAUCCCGGCAAGCGCCGGGGCGCGCACGUGUCACGGCUAGCCAGCAUAACCUCCAUCCGGUGACAGCCGGAGCUAUGGAGCUGCUGUCGGCGUGCACCAGCUCACCGCCGGUUGCCGGCGCCGCCACCUGGGCCCGCUCGUGCCUCGUUGCACACCUCGCACCGCCGCGCCGUCAGGUCCUGGUUGUUGUACGUGCACUUGUUGCAAGUCCUGUCGACGGCACAGGCGACCGGCUUUGACCCGACACGCUCACUCGAGCUGAAACACACAACCUGGUUACCGGGCCUGGAUGGUUUUACUGCGUUGUGCCAUCACACAGUAUGCCACACAUGCUCUAAUGCCGCCAGGUGCCGAGCAUCACUUGCCCUGACCUGGGCAAAACACCUUGGCUCUCGCUGCUGCCCACCACUGCCCACCCUAUCCUACCCAGCACACAAAGCUACACGUUCGACUCAGAAUGCCCCUGUCCCCUGCUCACCAGAAGCCCUGCUCGCCCAGCAGCACCACGUCCUCGUCCACUCCGCGCGCCUUCUUGGAGCGGCGGCCCUUGUGUCCCGUCGUGCCGGUGGCGGCCGGCCCUCCCGCUGCGCCUGCCGCCUGCUCCCCGCCCUCGUUCACGCCGCUGGGGCCGGCGCCGUCAUCCACCUGCCCGCAACACCAGACACAUGCACACGUCAGCCCUCGGAGAGAAGCAUCACAACUGGUAGCAUUGCCAAUUAGCGUUACAUUACUGCAGCCGCGCAAUGACGCCCAUGUCAACUAUCGUCAUGGGCCAUCGCUCGCGCCUUUUUGCACAUUGCAGCUACGCCCGCAACGCAUGCUUGCAACUCUACGCCCUCUCGUCCGGCCCAGUGCCUACUCUACCGGACACCUGUGCAGCUUGAUGACCGAAGCCCAGCCACACCUACCGUAACCUACUCGGCGUGCAGAAUACAAACAGGACUGAACGCCGAAAGCAUCUGUUUGCUACCCGCCUCUGAACGCGUUGCUCAUACUGUACACACGCGCUGUGCGACACCGCCAUGCCCAUCCUGCGUCAGCCCCCUUGUCUGGUGUCAGCCGAGAGCCCCUAUGUGGAACCUCGUCUUGAGCAGUCCGUGUCCCAUGCCAGUGCCGCCUCCAUACAUUGCUUCCCGCCACAAGCGCGACCGGUCCAUGCCCUCUGCACCGCCCCCUUACGGCAGGCUCACCCCCUCGCAUCGCCUUGGCCCCGCGCCACGCUCAUCGCCUUCAGCAUUACUCCCCCGCAACCUGUCGAGCUGUCUUUUUACUAGUGCAAUCUACUACUGCUUCACCUGGCCUGCGUAGUCCGCCUCCAUGCUGCUGAAGCCCUUCUCCAGCUGCUUCACCAGCUUGUCGAAGAAGCCCGCCGUCACGUCCGUCAGGCCUGUGGUGAGCAGGAAAGCAAUAUCGGGGUACAGGCCUUCAGCAAGCGAGGUCGUACAGCGGCAUGGGGCAGCAAGCAGGCAGGCGGGCAUGAGCAUGGCACAUUCACAUCGCCAAACCCGAUAUUCACCACGCCACAUCGCGCGCACGAAACCCGUCGUUCGAGUCCCCUUUUGCACAGCAGCCCUCGACAGCGCCUGCAGCCGCCUGUGGCCCUACAGCCGCCACCGCCCGGUCCUCACCGAUGAGGUUCUUGCGGAACGUCUGGAAGGCGUCCGCGUCGAAGCCGCCGUCUGCCUGGUUGCGCGCCUUGGUCACGUGCGCGCCCAGGUCCUUCUCCGCCGCCUCGUGCAGCCGCUCCAGCGAGCGCUCGGCGUCGCCCUGCGACAGCGACGGACAGGGAAGGUAAAGCCAAGGCCCGGUAAGGUCGUCAGCCGCGAUGCGGCGCCCACACUGCGACGCCGCGUCGGUGUGUUGCGGUCGCACAACAUCAAGCCGCAGCGCUUGCCCUGCCACGCACGCCCUGCCACGCGCUCCUGCAGCCGCCCAAGCGCACCUGCAGGAACUCGAAGAAGCCCUUGUGCCGCGCCACCUCGCUGUUCCGGUCCGCGUCCUCGAACGCGUAGUAGCCGUACGCGUACGUCCACUUGAGCAUUCUCCGGCACUCCACGAUCUGUGACACGCGCAAACAAGUGAAUGUUCAGCUUGGGGUCCUCGUCGACGAGCCAUGCUGCGCCGUAAAGUUGCAACCCAAGCGGAAUGUCCAGCCGCCAACCCUGCGCACCGCCGCCCCCUUUCAACAACCCCCUUAGUGCCCGACUGCCCGCCAAAGCCGCCCUGCCCAGCCGCCACACACCUGGUUCCAUGCCUCGUUAAUGAACUUGAGCUGGCUGGUGGGCGUCUUCGUGAUGUCCGCCAGCUGCUCCAGCCAGUCCUUGCUCACCUUGCUCGCGUCCAGCCGGGCCUACGUGUGCACGAAUGCGCCACAACGGAUAAGGAAUGCUGUUUGUAUGUCGACCAGUGGCGACUACCCGCAUUACGAGGAUGCGCGCAAGCACUAGACCAGCUGGCCCUGACCCACCUUCUCGCGCGCCUUGGAGUGCGCGUCAAAGCGCUCGAAGUAGUGCAUGUACCGCUCGAGGCUGGCCUUGGCGUUUUCACGCCGCCGCGACUCGUCGUCGUACUCGCCCUUCUUCUUCGCCGUCUCAAACCUGGAGGGAAUGCCAGCAAUGCGAGCUUGUGUAAGUGCCACAUCGCAGCUGUCAUCUGAGCGCUACCGGCCGCCCUGGGCAGGCGUGCUAAGGCUCGAUAUGUGCAUCAUCGCCCACCCGUACUGCCGCUUCCGUCGAGGCUUUUUGCCAUUGGGUCGAUACAGGCCGUCUCUACCAUUGCGCCCGCCUACGUUACUAGCACAUCGGUCCCAUCACAUUCAGCGCUUCCCGCGCCGCCCACCACCCACCGGUUGCACGCGUAGAAGCCUCCCGUCCGCUCGCCGUGCUCCUUCCAGUCGCCCUGGCACAGCCAGCAGAACUCAAACCGGCACUGGCUGCACGUCAUGUGCAUGCAGCCCUGCGUAUGCAUCAAGCAGCGGCAUAUAGGUUAGUCACGGGGCUGACAUCACUUAACCUCAGUCAGCUGACGUGCCCGCAGCUGCAACCCUUGCCCCACCAGCACCUACAUGCUGACAUUCCCAUCCCCAUCCUCUCACACCUGGUUCUUCUCUAUGGGCCUGCUGCACUUGGGGCAGGGCUUGGUGUUGGCCAGGAUCCAGUUCAUGUUCUCGCUCUCCGCGCUGUUCUUGGUGAGCCACGUCUUCACCGUCUUGCAGGACACCUGCAGGCGCCCGCACAUGCAAGGUCAGGCACGCCAGACUAACGCUCUAGAGGUCUCUCGGCCGGCCAGCUUCGGCACUGCCGCCGCCAGCUGCCUGGUGUGAGAACGCCCCCGCGACGCUCGCGUGACCUGCGGCCAACAGCUGGGUAUGGCCACUGGGUGUCCCGCGCUCCAAUUCGACCCAAUUCAGUGUGUCUGGCCCCCAACCCCUCGAUGGAUGCGGCUGUUUGAUCAGUCUCCGUCUUGGUCCCCUCCUCGCCCCCUGGCACCUUGCCCCUUUUCCAGCCGGGCUAUCCAUCAUGUCAAAGCCCUAGCCUCUGAACCAGCUCCUUGCCCGGACAAGCCUACUGUCCAGUCACCAUUAACUCACCGGCCGGUGCGCCUCCUCCUUGCAGUUGAAGCAAAACGUGGCGGAGCAUGAGCAGAUGACGUCCAUCGCCUCGUCUGGCCCGCGGUCCACCAGGCACUGAAUCGCGUUCUCGCAAUUCUGCACGCGUGCGACAUAAGCAGUCAGGUGAUGACUUCAGUGACCAAAGCCAGACACUGUCCGCCUCAUUACCGGUGACUCCUAUCUUUGCACCUUCACCCACGCCACCCGCCUCCUCUGUCUUCAACUACGCACAUCCCCAAUACGUCCACUACCUGUACACUGACGGCCCAAUCACAACACUCAUUCCAUCUGUCACUCCUGCUGCUGCAACUGCUCGCCCCUCCAAAUCCCUCCGUUUCAUUGCAUGGCAUGACGCCCUUGACCCUGUGUUGCCAAAGCACCCUCGUUCUCACCUUGCCGGUGCACCAGCACAUGGAGCUAUUGUCCUCCACAAAGGAGCGCACCAUGUAGGUGCUGUACUUGGACUGCUCCUCGCCGCUGGCCAGCUCCAUCACCAGCGCGCAUGGCACCUGCGUGGUAACAAAUGUGGUGUUCCUGAACAGGAAAGUGUUGAUCCAUGCAUGCAUCCAGUGCUUCGAAGCGGCCCGUUGGGACUGAGCAGGAGGUCCAGCCAGCUGGAUGUGGCGUUGCAGGCGCAAACCCACCCCAAGGUACUCACGCAGGCCUUUUGCUUGCAUUCCGUGGACGGGCAGCGCAGGUCCAGGCAGGCAGGCCCUGAAGACAGCGCCUGCGUGAUGUACCCCCGCCAGCAGUCCUUGCAGAAGUAGUGCCUGCACGCCGCUGAGCGCAUGUCGCGCACGGGGAAGCUGUCGAAGCAGAUAAAGCAGCGCUCCUCCGCCUGGGCGUGGCAGAAAGCAGGCACGGAGCGCAGGGUGACAGCAGGAACGGUUUGCGUGAAGGGGCAGGUAACAAAGCUGGGAAACCGGGCGUGUGCACUCGAUGGCCUGGGCAGUGUUGUCAUGUAAUAGAGGCCAGGCACUGCAUUUGACCCCGUGCCCUUUUCCUUCCCGCCGUAGAGGUUGCUGGAUAGCCGGUAUGGUGCAUCCGCCUAGCCUGCAAUACGACCCGAACCCAUGGGAGCGCCUACAGUCUGUUGACCACGUGUGCGAAGCCCUGUGCAGCAAACCCCUCGACCCGCGCGUGCGCCCACUGCUCACCUCACAGGCCGCGCGGCCCGACGGCCCAGGCUCAUCCACGAGCCCUAGCGACUCCCGGACCUGGUCAUACUUCGAGAACCACUCCUCCUGCACCCGGCUCGAGUCCCUGCAGCGCCAGGCCACCGUAUGUCAAGUCACCAGGGUUUCGGCAUGCCUAGCGCCAAGCGUGCGCAACCCCACCAGGGACGGCCUCACCAUUUGUACUUGCGAAGGACACGCAUAGCCGUGUCCUCGUCAAUGCCUAGGACGUCCAUGACCUCGCGAAGCGCCUUUUCCCGCUGUUUGUUAAGGUCCUCCUUGGGCAGGACCUUGUAGGGAACCUGCAUAUGCAUACGCACAUCAUCAAGACCCCGCUUCUCGCUUAGCCGUGUCAAGUACAGCUGCGCGAAACAAGAUCCGCUUUGGGCCCCGCUUGCCUUAGGAACAGUAGACACCUCCUCAGCGCCAGCAAAGCCGUAGUCAUCGUCGUCGUCCUCCACGUCCAUAUCCGCGUCGCUGGCUCCAUAAUCGCUCAUCUCCUCGUCCUCCGAGCCGCUCCGGAACUCCUCGCUAUCGUCACUCAUCGUGUCUACGCCCCAAUCCCCGAGAGCUUUACAGGCGAUUAAGGGGAUCGAUGUGGGCUGCCCACGUCAGGGCGACACGACCGUGCCCAGGGCGCUCGUUCCUAGUCAGCUCAAGCGUGGUAAUCAGGGGAAGUUCAAAUACUAGAAGAAGGAUGUGUGCGUCAGAGGUAUGGGAAGUAUGGCAGGGACGGUGCCGGGCGAAAUGCCGGUCUGGUCGAGUCUGAGGCCCAAUCUGCCCCAUUCUAGCCCUGUUGCUUGGGUUGUCCGGGCCCACGCUUUGGCGGGCAUUUUGCUCCCCGGCUGCCUCCGCCUGAAUGUUUGACAGGGACCAACAGAAUGCACGUAGGUUGGCCGGUGACAGGCGCAGGUUUCCGUGUUCCUUACACUCAAGCUUUGAGGACGGCUGUGCGGGACCUGACGGAAGCUAAGCCCAAGCCCGUUGCAACGGCAGCCUGCGGUACCCAUUAUUCAGCUUGACCCCAAAACGAACAAGUUCACCCGCACCAAGGCGUCACACGAAUGCCUGGACUGCGGAGGCAAGGACAGGACGUUCGAGCUGCACGCUGGGGGGGGGGGGCAAUGCCGUGCUGGCGUGUUUUGCAGGCUGGGUAUCCCUCGACCGUGGCACUUUUAUAACCCAGCUAGAGGAGCUGUCCAGUGCUGAGGCUAGAUUCCGGCUGCCAAGGCUGCGCCCGCUGGCUGAACCCUCCCGGCUGAGCAGCGUCGGGGCGUGCCCCGCUGUAAAGCCCCAUCCACUCCCCCCUAACGCUGAACCCCCGCCAGCCGCAGCUGCCACGCGUCUGCACGCGGGACAUGUGCACGUGACUGCGCCUCCGUACCCAGCGCCGCCGCUCUGAUGCUGCCCAUGGCGCAGCACCAGUCCCAGCAGCCGCUCGCCAACAUCCUCUGCCGUUGAUCCGCGCGCGCGCCAGGCCGCUGCUGCUCUCCGUAUAUUUGCUGAGCUCCGUGUCUCCUUAACAUAAGCUGCUGCCAUGUCUGGGCCAGCCAGCGCUGGCCGCCGCGGCGUCGAGCGUGUCCCAUCCCUCCCACCCGCACCCCACCCCGGCCCACUGGAGGGCCACCCCGGGACGGAGAGGAAGCACUCAUACGAAGCGUGUGCCUUACAGCACGACAUCAGACCGCCGUGGGCGGAGGGCACCAGCCAGCAACACCGCGCACACCCGCGCCGUGAGCGAUGGAGUCCAGUCCGAGGGCGCCAUGGCUCCGAGCUGCUGCCGUGGCUCCCACUGCUGCUAAGCCGCUAGCACCACGAUCCUACUGUCCGCCUGCUUAAUCCUUCUUCUGCUGCUGCUGGUCGCGGUUGGGGAACCGGCGAGGCGGCUCCCGGUUCCGGCGCUCCUUGGCGUUGCGGACGCGCACAACGCGGCUGUGGAUAGCAGCGCUGAUGCUGUAGUACACCUUGCGGUAAAUCUUGGGCAGGGCGUAGUCUGUGGGCAGGGAUUGCGCCGGCAGAAGCCUCAAGACGGCGGACAAACACGCCCUCGCGCUAAAAUGAGCACACUCGGUCCUCAUCCACUUCAUUUCAUAUUGUCAUGACCUAUUGCUAUCCCAAGCCAGCCCAACUGGAGGCCGUCGCCCAGGCUCGAUCCCCAGCGCCCACAGCCGUCCCUCCGCCGACUCACUGUCGACGACGCAAGCCUCCUGCAUGUCGCGGAGAGCCGACGCGUCCACAAUGUUGCGCACAAUGUAGCGCUUGAUAGCCUUGUCCUUGGGCACCAUGGCGCCGCUAGACUCGCAGCGCACACGGUUCACAUGGCCGCGGCCGUGCUUGGCGCGUCCCCGAUUCCGCCGCUUCUUCGUCAUGGUUGCUAGCUUUGCAGAGAGAGG
rnacentral:lncRNA from 1 species